rnacentral:tRNA from 2 species
UGGGGGAUCGUCUAGUGGCAGGACAGUGGACUCUGGAUCCAUAAACCGAGGUUCGAAUCCUCGUCCCCCAGCCA